AGAGCAGAUCUUGGACUGAGACCUACAGGACACAGCGACUCUUAAAUAGGUGGCUCACCAGGAGAAAGGCAUAGCAGAACCUGGACUGAGACCUACGGGAGACAGGCAGACACACAGGAGGUUGGACGUCGAGAGGAGCACAUCAGUGCAAGAACACAUGGGUGGCUGCCACUUCUCUCCCUUUCCUGAGAGGGAAAAACUCUCGACGCUGAGAGGAAUCCACCAACAGGCACCAGCACUCUGGCAGGCCACCGACCAAUGGAUUGACAUAGAGUUUGGCUGGGGCAGCCAGAGGAGAGCCUGGGCCGCUGAAUAACCCGACUUCAGGGGAAAACUAUUCUCCCUUUUGGCUCCCCCAUCUGCUGAGAGCUACUUCCACUCAAUAAAACCUUGCACUCAUUCUCCAAGA
ensembl:lncRNA LINC01480 long intergenic non-protein coding RNA 1480